CCUACGUGGGGCAGCAGUGGGGAAUAUUGGACAAUGGGCGAAAGCCUGAUCCAGCCAUGCCGCGUGUGUGAAGAAGGCCUUCGGGUUGUAAAGCACUUUCAGUGGGGAAGAAAGCCUUGGGGCUAAUACCCUCGAGGAAGGACAUCACCCACAGAAGAAGCACCGGCUAACUCCGUGCCAGCAGCCGCGGUAAUACGGAGGGUGCGAGCGUUAAUCGGAAUUACUGGGCCUAAAGCGCGCGUAGGCGGUCUGAUAAGCCGGUUGUGAAAGCCCCGGGCUCAACCUGGGAACGGCAUCCGGAACUGUCAGGCUAGAGUGCAGGAGAGGAAGGUAGAAUUCCCGGUGUAGCGAUGAAAUGCGUAGAGAUCGGGAGGAAUACCAGUGGCGAAGGCGGCCUUCUGGACUGACACUGACGCUGAGGUGCGAAAGCGUGGGUAGCAAACAGGAUUAGAUACCCGUGUAGUC
rnacentral:rRNA from 1 species